GAUGAACGCUGACAGAAUGCUUAACACAUGCAAGUCAACUUGAACUUCGGUUUGGGUGGCGGACGGGUGAGUAACGCGUAAAGAACUUGCCUCACAGCUAGGGACAACAUUUGGAAACGAAUGCUAAUACCUGAUAUUAUGAUUAUAUGGCAUCGUAUAAUUAUGAAAGCUAUAUGCGCUGUGAGAGAGCUUUGCGUCCCAUUAGCUAGUUGGAGAGGUAACAGCUCACCAAGGCGAUGAUGGGUAGCCGGCCUGAGAGGGUGAUCGGCCACAAGGGGACUGAGACACGGCCCUUACUCCUACGGGGGGCAGCAGUGGGGAAUAUUGGACAAUGGACCGAGAGUCUGAUCCAGCAAUUCUGUGUGCACGAUGAAGUUUUUCGGAAUGUAAAGUGCUUUCAGUUGGGAAGAAAAAAAUGACGGUACCAACAGAAGAAGUGACGGCCAAAUACGUG
rnacentral:rRNA from 1 species